ACAUGUUUUGCAAAGUAAAAGUUUUUGGUACUUACAGUUAACGAUGAGUUUGGUUCCUCCGCCAAAAGUGUACCACAGUGAUACAAACUCACUAAGUGGCCGCACAAAAACCGCCUGCACUCAGAACAAGUAUCUAAGCACUUAGAAAAUGUCUGCUACCCCAAUACUUAAUCUAAACGGCUACAUUUAUGCUAGUUUUAAUCUAAAAUGCUUUAAAAAGAACAAAAUAAUUUUCCUACAAAUAAAGAUAAUAUCUUGACAAUCUACAAACUGGAAAUAGAAACAAUUACUGUCUUUGUAACAGAGCAUCUAACAAAAUGCUUCUCAAUACUGACUACUAACAAAGCAAAUUUAAAGUAAAGUAAAAAAAAAAAAAUCACAAUUUUCUAUACUUUAGAUUUCAUACUAAUCACACUCAAAAUAAAACGUAUCAUUUGCAGCCAUGGACACCUUAGUUGCAAUCCCAAUGUAAAUAUUUUCGUCAGUUGUUUCACGUUGCCUUCAGUGUGUUGAGAACAUAGAAAUCAUUUCCAUAGAGAGGAGGCUUUGCAUCAUCAGCUGAUCCUCCAGAGAACUGAGAAGGUUUAUAGUCUUGUGACUUCAACACUGCAGGACUCACAUCUGUCAGUCAACACAGCAGAAAGCACAACCACCAUGACUCUCAUCACCAUCCUCAUCUGGACGCUGACCUGCUGCUGUUUUACAGGAGGCAGCGGUCAGGUGACUGUGACUCAACCUCCAGUACUGACAUCUACUCCUGGAUCCACUGUCACUCUGACCUGUAGGACCAGCCAAGCUGUUCACAGAUUUGAUGAUGGUGAUGAUGCUAUGUACUGGUAUCAACAGAAAUCUGGACAGACCACAAAGCUCCUAAUUCGACAUGUGAGCAUAAGACAUUCAGAAACACCAACUCGAUUUAAUGGCAGUGGAAGCAGCUCUGACUUCUCUAUGACCAUCAGUGGAGUUCAGGCUGAAGAUGCAGCAGUUUACUACUGUAAGAGUAUCCAUGUAAUAAACAGUGCUGAUGUGUUCACACAGUGAUUUGUAGCCGUACAAAAACCUCCCUCAGUCAGACUGCAGAGACACUGAGCUGUUACAGCAGGAACUGACUGCAGCUGCUGAAGAGGAAGAAACUCUGACACAGACCCCUGAACACAGAGCUGGCAGUAACCUCACUAAGUAUACAUUUCUUAUUUAAAGAUA